GAACGCCACCGCCAUUGCCGCCCGCCCCCAAUGCCACGCCCCGCGGUCGUGUGAUAACAAAGAUAAUGCAAUAAAGGCAAUAAAAGCUGCGAGAGAGCCAAGAAACGUGACCCAGGCAAAUUGUUUGUUUGUCUGCCUCUGCUUGCAUCUACAUAUACAUAUUGUAUAAACGUGCGUGUAAGAUUGUGUGUGUGUGUGAGCAGCCGUCGCGGUAGUAGUAGUAACACAGCAAACAACAACAAAAAUUCGUCUCGCGUUUUAACAAUAAUAAUUAACAAAAAUUACAAAAUUGUAUCUCCCUCUUUCUCUCUCUCUCACACACACGCACGAAUAUUACCCCCGGCGCGUUUUUGUCUGUCUCACUCUCGCAAAGACGGAAGAGUUACAAAAUAAUACACAGUAAUAAAAUAAUAAAUACCAAAAACUGCCACCGUCGGUGCUCAAUAAAUUGUGCAUUUUUUAAGUUCUUCACAAUGUCCUCGAAUCUCAUUUAAAUAAGUAAAAAGUGUAAUAAGCGACGCGAACAACACGCAGCGAAAAGAAUAGCGCUGAAUAGAAGCACACCAAACAGCAACAAAUGGCCAACAAUUGAAUGGCGGCCAUCAGUGGCCCCCAGCGGCAUCCAUUGAGCAAUCAACACCAUUUCUCCCACAUCAAAUCAAGCACCACCACCGCCGCCACCAUUGCCACCACCACCACUUGGGGAACCAGAAGAACCACAGUCCAAAACACAGUCCAAACCACCACCGCCGCAACGAGGACGAAGACGACGGGCCCAGCAGAACCACAACCACUACAACUGAGCUCCAUCGUCAAGAAAUACCAGAAACGGGUGCAGCUGCUCGAACUAUUUGGUAAUCCCGCCGCGUAGUCCAUCAAUGAGCGUUUCGAUGUCACUGGUACAGGGUGGUGCUGCCGGUGGUGCGCCACAGGGCGCCAGCGCAAUCUUGGCCGCCGCGGCUCCCUACUAUCAACCGCCGGCCGUGCCGCAGGAUGUCCAGCCGGAUCGUCCCAUCGGCUAUGGAGCAUUCGGAGUUGUCUGGGCCGUCACAGAUCCUCGGGAUGGACGACGCGUGGCCUUGAAGAAGCUGCCAAAUGUGUUCCAAUCGUUGGUCUCAUCGAAACGCGUUUUCCGCGAGCUGAAAAUGCUCUGCUUCUUCAAGCAUGAGAAUGUUCUCUCGGCUCUGGACAUUCUACAGCCACCGCAUUUGGAUUUCUUUCAAGAAAUCUAUGUGAUAACGGAGCUGCUGCAAUCGGAUCUGCACAAGAUAAUCGUGUCGCCGCAGCACCUGUCCGCCGACCACAUCAAGGUGUUCCUCUACCAGAUCCUGCGCGGCCUCAAGUAUCUGCACUCGGCCCGCAUCCUGCAUCGCGACAUCAAGCCGGGCAACCUGCUGGUCAACUCGAACUGCGUCCUCAAGAUCUGCGACUUUGGACUGGCCCGCGUCGAGGAGCCCGACCAGGCCAAGCACAUGACCCAGGAGGUGGUCACCCAGUACUACCGCGCUCCGGAGAUCCUCAUGGGCGCCCGCCACUACUCGUCGGCGGUGGACGUCUGGUCGGUGGGCUGCAUCUUUGGCGAGCUCCUCGGCCGUCGCAUCCUCUUCCAGGCGCAGAAUCCCGUGCAGCAGCUGGAGCUGAUCACCGAGCUCCUCGGCACGCCCACCAUGGAGGACAUGCGGCACGCCUGCGAGGGCGCCCGCACCCACAUGCUCCGGCGGGCGCCCAAGCCGCCCUCCUUCUCGGUGCUCUACACGCUCAGCUCGCACGCCACGCACGAGGCGGUGCACCUGCUCUGCCAGAUGCUCGUCUUCGAUCCGGACAAGCGAAUUUCGGUGACAGAUGCCCUGGCGCAUCCGUACCUGGACGAGGGUCGUCUGCGGUACCACUCGUGCAUGUGCAAAUGCUGCUUCACUACCUCGGCCGGAAUGCGCCAGUACACGGCUGACUUCGAGCCCUCCGCCGGCCAGCCCUUCGACGAUCUGUGGGAGCGCAAGCUCACCUCCGUGCAGCAGGUCAAGGAGGAGAUGCACAAGUUCAUUGCCGAGCAGCUGCAAACGGGUCGAGUGCCGCUCUGCAUUAAUCCCCAGAGUGCCGCCUUCAAGAGUUUCGCCAGCCAAUGAGAAUGAGAAAAAUCUACUACUACUACCACUACCACUACUACCACAACAACUUGCACUGCUGCUCCUGCCGCUGCUCCAAUCCGCCGCCGCCUACUGCCGCGCUGCCCUCACGAACCGAUCCAGAUCGAGGUCGAGAUCAAUAUCCAGAUCGAGAUACUACGCGCGCGAUCUCCUCUCGCUAGAACGAAUCGAAAUAGAAACGCAGAAGUCACAACCUACUAUCCAUAAUCUGCCGAAAGUUUGAAGAAUCAAAGUGAUACAGAUACAGUGAAAAUGAAAAUGAAAAUCAAUAUGAAAAUGACAAUGAAAAUGAAAUGACAGCACAGCAAAGAUAAAGAUACAAUAAUACAGAUAUACAGAAAAUGAAAAUGAAAAUGAGGCCUUGGGCGGCAACUGUCUCUCUACUCCUUCUUAGUUCGACCGUGGCACAUCCUUCGGAGCUGCCGCCCUCGCCUCAUCAGUGGGAAUGACGGCAAAAUGAGGCGAUUGCUGCCUAAAAUCGAAACAAAAGCAACUCAGCCAAACGAUAGACCCUCGCCGCCGAGAAGGAGGAGAAGAGGAGUCGAUCCCCAGUCCAAAAAGUCCUCGAAACACCCAACCCAACCCAGAGAUAACUCAGCCAGGAACAACGAUUGAAUAAUUUUUAAGCGCCAAACGGCUUUUAAGUGGGCGUUUGUCUGUUUGAAAGUUAAAGCAUUCCACCACCGAAAUUAACUAGAAGAAAACAAACAAAUAUUUAAUAAUACUAUAGACAAACAAAUAUGUAACGUAACUCAACUGAAACUAGUCUAAACAACAAAACUGUAGUUAAAGCAGCAGCAGCGACACAAAACCAGCAAGUUUAAUGUGAAAACAAAAAGAAUAUUACAAAAAUUAUAAAGAGAGAGAGAGAGAGCAGCAGGAGAUUCUACGCACUACAAGCAAAGCGUAGUUAAUAAUAAUAAUAUUAGUUAUUUGGCAACAAAGCAGACUUUUUGUUGUGCUUGACAAGGAUUAUAAAAAUUGAUCGAAAAUUCGAAUUCAAAUUGGAAAAACAACACAAAAUCGUUUUAUGUUAAGCUCCUAAGAAAUCUAUGUAUAUGUAAAUUAAUUAGCAACACACACAGACAUCGUAUUCAUUAUAUACAAGUAUGCGUAACUCUUAAAUAUAUCGAUAUAUAUAUUUAAAAUAAAAUAGUAACAAAAUGCACACAAAUCCAAAAUUUGUUUGCCAAAAUUUACCUCAAGCGAUAAACCGUUUCAUCCGCAAAAAGAAUAAAUUCAUCUUCUGUUAGCUUACGAUGAAAAAAAAAAACAAAAUAUAUGUAGCUACAGAUAAAUGUGUACUAAAUGCUAAAAAAAAGAAACUUAUUUAAAAUUAUGCAACUAUUUUCAUUUACACAAACGUUUGAAGCUUCAAUUUUGAAACUGGUUUCUAGAUAUACACUCUAUAUGUAUCUGACCACAAAAAAUCGGUCAACCCUAACUCAAUAUUAGACAAAGAGAAAUAUAUUUGAUGAAAUUAGUUCAAAGUUUCAACUGUCGACUGAACAAAAAUUACAAUAUAAAUAUAUAUAUAAAUUAAACAAUUUCAACUUAAUUAACUUAAUUUAGUUAUGACAAUUUUCGCUUUGAUAAUAGUUUGUUAAGCUUUUUAAACAUAUUUUUCAUAAAUGUAAACUAAAAAAUAAACAAAACAACAAAGGAAAAACCAACAAGUGGACGACGCACUGCCCCCCAGUGAAUGGUUCGGGCGGAGUGACCCCAACUGGUCGGAAAGGGGAAUCCCCGUUCCCCCUUGGAGUCCAAUGGCGCCGCCCGGAUCACUUCAAUUUUAGUUGAUAUGUAUACUUUGCUUUUAGUUGAUUACCAUGUAAUAUAGUUUAAUUUUCGACUACCAACACCUCUGUCUCUCUCAAUGCUCAUUGCUAUAGGCUAUAGCUAAGGUGCAGGACAGGAUCGGUUAUAGAGGAUCAAUUGCUACGGCCCCGGCUGCCCAGAACAUUAUAUAUGUUUAAGACUGAGUUUUCUCAUUUGACGACUACGAUUGAUUAAUUGAGGAUAUGCAAUACGAAAUUCACACUUGAUUUAUUUGGAAGAGUCAAAAUUUUCGAUGUAGCCUAAGCACUUAACAAAAUUAAAAACGUAUAUCGUAUAUGUGUAUUUUGAAUGUCUUUUGUCUUCAAUGUUUAGAGCUAAAACAAAAAAGCAUAAAUAUUUAAUCGAAAAAAAUAACGACGAUAAAGUAGAAGACGCUCUCGAAGAAAUUGAAACAGAAACUGAAACUGAAGCUAAACUAACUUUUCCUCUCUUCGAUUCUCUUAACUGUGCUGCUUUCUUAUGUAUGUAGUAUUUAAUUAUAGCAUUAUAUAUAUUAACCGAUAUAUAUAUGCAUGUAUGGAUUAGCGUAAAACAAACGAAAACAAAACAAAAACAAAUAUGAAUUCAAAACUUUCACGGAGAUCUCAUAGCAAAAACAAAACGAAAUGAAAGAAAAGAAAAGCAAAGGAAAUCAGUGUGCAAAAAAGUAGAAUUUCUUUUCAACUUUUGUUUAUAACUAAAGUGUUUCUUAACCGUAUAUAUAUAGAGUACAGAUUAGAGAUUACCGAUUACAGAUUGUUUAUCCCUCAUUUGACCAGAGACCGACCCAGAGACAUACGCUCGAAUUCAAGUUAAAUUGACAUCUGCAUCCGCAUCAUCUUCAUCUCUAAGCACAUACUCCCCAUAGAGGUAUAUUAUAUAUAUAUAUAUAUAUAUAUAUAUAUAAUGGAUAGUUAGUUUUCGUUCAGCUUAGGCACCGUGUACAUAACAUUAUCUCCACGCCCCACCAAUAAUUAGCCCACAUCUCUCUCUAGCUCAGUAAGUCGGUUAGCUAUGAGGUAAUACGAGUUCGAUAAGUGAAGGACAUGUACAUUAUACGACACACGACAUAGCACAACCCUCGAUUGGAGCAGGUCCGAACUAAAACGUAAAGUAAUUCACACUCGAUAUGCAUAUAUACCUAACAGAUAUAUAUAUAGGAUGUAUGAUUUGGGGGAGAGCGACUUUCGCCGACUCGACCGCCCGUUCGAAAUGAGUUCAUUAGUUAAGAUCAACUGUAACUGUAAACUGCAUUAGUAUUUGAUUGUAAACCGAUUUACGGAUCAUUCUUAACUAUAUAUAUUAGAUACGUAUUACGCAUUAAUUUACGUUAACUGAGAAUAAAACAAAAAACUUGUGUAAACUGUUUGUAUAAAAAAAAUAAGAACAAAACAAAAAAAGAAGAAAACGAA